AUUCCUGACGCCUCUCCAGCAGGCUUGCUCCUCUCUUUUCUCUCGGGCCCAGCUUUAAUUGGUCUUUUCCUUUUCCAUGCCUUCUUCGGACAACCUGCUGCUCGGCGACAUUUCUGUGGCCCGCAGAGACCAAAAGGUCAAGGAAACAAAGAUGGAAUAUUCUCUCACCUGCAGUUUUCUCCAGUUGACCACAUAAGAAUGCCCCAGUAGCCCUAUAUGCAUGUGACUGUGACGCAUCUGGUGAAGCCCAAAGCAAACGAAGACGCAUCCACAGAGGGACCAUACCUUGCUAUUUACAUAUUGCUCUUUGUGCCCACUCUUGCACCAUCAGCGAUCAUCGGUAGCCCAGUGACUUGUGAAGGCACAGCAUCAAAGGGCAGAAACUCUGGUUUUGUUUUAACUCAAACUGGAAACAAACACACAUUGAGGAAUGCCAUCAGUACUGAAAAUCCAUUUCACACUGUGUUGUUGCUGUCAUUAUGAGAAGUACUGAACAUGGACUAUAUUUCAAGGAAGAAUGAGGUAUUCUAUUUCUCCCAAAAUAGAACAUUUGCGAGUCUACUUGAACCUGUUGCUCAGUUUGAUUAAUUUUAGCAGGCCGGCUCUCAAAAUAUGAAAACAUUAGAAACAGCAACCCAUCAUAUAUUUUUAAAGCAAUGUGUGAAGAAUUAAUUAACUUAAUAAAUGAUAAAGUUCUACUGGCUAUGUUCAAUGAAAGCAGUAGAGCGGGGUAUUUCCACUUUGCAAAUCCCACUCCUGAACUUUCUCACGGUCUAUCCUGAUACCGUGCCCAAAGUCUCCCCAUCUUCACGUCUACGAAAUAGUCUGCUUAUAUUUCUCCUAACAUUGAUUGGUUUCUUCUUCAGGAAGUCCAAGGUAUGUACAAUAUUCGUCGACCACACCACAAUUCAUAUCCAUCAAUUAUUCUAUCUUCCUUUUAUAACUAAGUUGGGGGUCUGCUUCACAAUUCUGAAAAGAAAAAUUAAGUUGAUUAUUUACUAAUCCCUUCUCACAAUGUUAUUAGAAAACCCUGACAGGAAAUCAGAAUUCAAUCGUCAAGUCAGUCAAAGUGGAAACUCUGAAUUGCAGCGUGGCUUAAGUGCUUUACACGUGUGGAAGAUCAGCUGAUUUAGUUAAGGCCUUGGUUCCUCGCCCAUCACAGCAGUAACGAUGGUGUUGCACAGCAUGAAGAUCAUGUUUUCAUUCCACACUGAUAAAUCAUUCUCAAGAUUAGAACAACAACACAUGGCUCCUUCCGAUGGAAAGGACUGCGGCAUGCCUUAGCACAUAGACAAUAAGAUUGGAAAAACUCAGUUACACAUACAUGGAAAACAGUGAGCUUAUCUCCCAGUACCUCUUUGACAGGCCCAGAAUAAACAGGAAAGAGCAUGCAAAUGCCGCCUCCCUUUCAUCUGGAAGAUGAGUGUAUUGAAACGCAUACUUCAUGAAACAUUUGUGUGCCACCUGUUGUUGACUGUCUUGAUGCUAGUUUGCGAUGCGCACGCGCAUGGGCUGCUCCUACCCAUGUAAACAUUUAGCAUUAGUAGAUACAGCCAGGAAAUU